UACAGAGGGUGCAAACGUUGCUCGGAAUACUGGGCGUAAAGCGCGUGUAGGCGGUUUAGAAAGUCGGCUGUGAAAGCCCUCAGCUUAACUGAGGAAGUGCAGUCGAAACUGCUAGACUAGAAUAUCGAAGAGGAAGGCGGAAUGCGCAGUGUAGAGGUGAAAUUCGUAGAUAUUGCGUAGAACAUCGGUGGCGAAGGCGGCCUUCUGGGAGAUUAUUGACGCUGAGACGCGAAAGCGUGGGGAGCAAACA
rnacentral:rRNA from 1 species